rnacentral:rRNA from 1 species
GCAUAUCAAUAAGCGGAGGAAAAGAAACCAACAGGGAUUGCCCCCAGUAACGGCGAAGUGAAGCGGCAACAGCUCAAAUUUGAAAUCUGGCCCCUUGGGGGCCCGAGUUGUAAUUUGCAGAGGAUACUUUUGGCGAGGCGCCUUCCGAGUUCCCUGGAACGGGACGCCAUAGAGGGUGAGAGCCCCGUCUGGUUGGAUGCCGAGCCUCUGUAAAGUUCCUUCGACGAGUCGAGUAGUUUGGGAAUGCUGCUCUAAAUGGGAGGUAUAUGUCUUCUAAAGCUAAAUAUUGGCCAGAGACCGAUAGCGCACAAGUAGAGUGAUCGAAAGAUGAAAAGCACUUUGGAAAGAGGGUUAAAAAGCACGUGAAAUUGUUGAAAGGGAAGCGCUUGUGACCAGACGUGGGCCUGUCGGAUCAUCCAGCGUUCUCGCUGGUGCACUCCGGCGGGCUCAGGCCAGCAUCAGCUCGUCCCGGGGGACAAAGGCAGCGGGAAUGUGGCUCCUUCGGGAGUGUUAUAGCCCGCUGCGUAAUGCCCUGGGGCGGGCUGAGGUUCGCGCAUCUGCAUGGAUGCUGGCAUAAUGGUUAUCAGCGACCCGUCUUGAAACACGGACCAAGGAGUCGUCUUCGUAUGCGAGUGUUCGGGUGUCAAACCCCUACGCGUAAUGAAAGUGAACGCAGGUGAGAGCUUCGGCGCAUCAUCGACCGAUCCUGAUGUUCUCGGAUGGAUUUGAGUAAGAGCAUACGGGGCCGGACCCGAAAGAAAGGUGAACUAUGCCUGUGUAGGGUGAAGCCAGAGGAAACUCUGGUGGAGGCUCGCAGCGGUUCUGACGUGCAAAUCGAUCGUCAAACAUGGGCAUGGGGGGCGAAAGACUAAUCGAACCUUCUAGUAGCUGGUUUCCGCGA